rnacentral:rRNA from 1 species
CGCCAGACUCCUACGGGAGGCAGCAGUGGGGAAUAUUGCACAAUGGGGGAAACCCUGAUGCAGCGACGCCGCGUGAGUGAAGAAGUAUUUCGGUAUGUAAAGCUCUAUCAGCAGGGAAGAAAAUGACGGUACCUGACCAAGAAGCCCCGGCUAACUACGUGCCAGCAGCCGCGGUAAUACGUAGGGGGCAAGCGUUAUCCGGAUUUACUGGGUGUAAAGGGAGCGUAGACGGUGAUGCAAGUCAGAAGUGAAAGCCCGGGGCUCAACUCCGGGACUGCUUUUGAAACUGUGUAACUGGAGUACGGGAGGGGCAGGCGGAAUUCCUGGUGUAGCGGUGAAAUGCGUAGAUAUCAGGAGGAACACCGGCGGCGAAGGCGGCCUGCUGGACCGUGACUGACGUUGAGGCUCGAGAGCGUGGGGAGCAAACAGGAUUAGAUACCCUCGUACG